CCUACGGGGGGCAGCAGUGAGGAAUAUUGGUCAAUGGACGAGAGUCUGAACCAGCCAAGUAGCGUGAAGGAUGACUGCACUAUGGGUUGUAAACUUCUUUUAUAUGGGAAUAAAAUGUUCCACGUGUGGGAUUUUGUAUGUACCAUAUGAAUAAGCAUCGGCUAACUCCGUGCCAGCAGCCGCGGUAAUACGGAGGAUCCGAGCGUUAUCCGGAUUUAUUGGGUUUAAAGGGAGCGUAGGGGGGUUGUUAAGUCAGUUGGGAAAGUUCGCGGCUCAACCGUAAGAUUGCAGUUGAAACUGGCAGUCUUGAGUAGAGGAGAGGUAGGCGGAAUUCGUGGUGUAGCGGUGAAAUGCUUAGAUAUCACGAAGAACUCCGAUUGCGAAGGCAGCUCACUGGACUGCAACUGACACUGAGGCUCGAAAGUGUGGGUAUCAAACAGGAUUAGAUACCCCUGUAGUC
rnacentral:rRNA from 1 species